UUCAGUGGGAGUCUGGGGUGGGAGAGGAACUCUGGAUCUGACAAUCUGAGGUCACCAGCAUCCUGAACUUCUGAGUCAGUGUGAGUUGAGGACUCUCUAUGGUCCUACUGAGCCAGGCCCUCUAUGGCUGUUUCAGAACACCAAAAAUGCUACAUUGGUUCUUAACUGGACUGAAAAAGGACAGAGGAACAAACAGAAACAUAAAGAGUGUAAAGGUGAAUUAACAGAUCUUUGCCCUUGUAUGGAAUGAGGAGGAGUAAGGCAUAAGAGGAGGAGUUAGAAGAGAUCUGUGGCUUUGGCCUUUUACCAGUCGUAUUUACCUUUUUCUACAAGUAAGCAAUAUAUAUCCCAAUUCUGAGUUGACAGAAGAAUCCUACAGCAGCAGGGGGUCACUCAGCACCAACAUA